CUCUGAAACACUAGUUUCUACAUGGAACAAAAGGUUCUAACUUUGAUAUUAUAUUAUCGGAGUGUCCAACACCCAUUCCAAGGUUCCAACUUGCGAACAUUGUCUCGUUCAUAAUUUGUAAUGAUAUAUCUCAAGGAUCAUUCUUCCUCAGACGGCUGCAAAGCAACCAGAGAGAGAAGUUAAUACGUUCUAUUUAUUUGUCAUUUUAUUAAAGCUUUUUUAGGUUCCAUUUCCAAGUUUAGGGUCCCCCCAGUACGCCAAACGCGUCAACCUGCAGCUUUUGUCUAUCAUAGUUUUGUCUUUGCAUGAGUUGUGUCCAUUUGCACAGACGUAAGGGAUAGCAUGCUCUUCUUCUUAUUAUUAUUAUCUCUCUAGUAUAAUACAAAUGUAAUGUUCUUUCUAGUUUUGGGAUGCCGUAUAGAAGUGUCUGAUUAUUGUCUGUAGCUGUGAUCGUGAGACAAGUGAAUCAUGGAUUAGAUUCAGCAAAAAUCUGUCCUUUUUAAUUAUUACUGUGUCCCAUCUUGAUUAAGUAACCAAUGAUGUGAUAUUAGCC
rnacentral:misc_RNA from 1 species